GUGGGGAAUAUUCCGCAAUGGACGAAAGUCUGACGGAGCAACGCCGCGUGAGUGAUGAAGGUUUUCGGACUGUAAAGCUCUGUUGUUUAGGACGAAAGUGCCUGUUGCAAAUAGUUACAGGUAUUGACGGUACUGAACGAGGAAGCCACGGCUAACUACGUGCCAGCAGCCGCGGUAAUACGUAGGUGGCAAGCGUUGUCCGGAAUUAUUGGGCGUAAAGAGCAUGUAGGCGGGAAUCUAAGUCUGUUGUGAAAAUGCGGGGCUCAACCCCGUAUGGCGAUGGAAACUGGGUUUCUUGAGUGCAGGAGAGGAAAGGGGAAUUCCCAGUGUAGCGGUGAAAUGCGUAGAUAUUGGGAGGAACACCAGUGGCGAAGGCGCCUUUCUGGACUGUGUCUGACGCUGAGAUGCGAAAGCCAGGGUAGCGAACGGGAUUAGAAACCCUUGUAGUCC
rnacentral:rRNA from 1 species